rnacentral:rRNA from 1 species
GGCUACUGCUAUUGGGAUUCGACUAAGCCAUGCGAGUCAAGGUGUCUUCGGACGCCGGCAUACGGCUCAGUAACACGUAGGUAACCUACCCUCAGGACUGAGAUAACCCCGGGAAACUGGGGCUAAUAUUAGAUAGAUAAAAGAUACUGGAAUGUUCUUUUAUCCAAAGCUUUUGCGCCUGAGGAUGGGCCUGCGCCCGAUUAGGUUGUUGGUGGGGUAAUGGCCCACCAAGCCUACGAUCGGUACGGGCAGUGGGAGCUGAAGCCCGGAGUUGGGGACUGAGACAAGGCCCCAGGCCCUACGGGGCGCAGCAGGCGCGAAACCUCUGCAAUGCGGGAAACCGUGACAGGGGGAUCCCAAGUGCUCAUGCAUUGCAUGGGCUGUUCUUUGGUCUAAGUAACCAGAGGAGUAAGGGCUGGGCAAGACCGGUGCCAGCCGCCGCGGUAAUACCGGCAGCUCAAGUGGUAGCCGCGAUUAUUGGGCCUAAAACGUUCGUAGCCGGAUAAGUAAGUCUUUGGUUAAAUCCUGCGACUUAACCGUGGGAAAUCUAGAGAUACUGCUUGUCUUGAGACCGGGAGAGGUUGGAGGUACUCCCAGGAUAGGGGUGAAAUCCUGUAAUCCUGGGGGGACCACCUGUGGCGAAGGCGUCCAACUGGAACGGGUCUGACGGUGAGGGACGAAACCUAGGGGAGCGAGCCGGAUUAGAUACCCGGGUAGUCCUAGGCGUAAAUGAUGCGAGUUAAGUGUGGGGGCAUCCACGAGAUGGCCCUGUGCUGUAGGGUAGCCGUUAAACUCGCUGCCUGGGGAGUACGGUCGCAAG